rnacentral:rRNA from 1 species
GUGCCAGCAGCCGCGGUAAUACGUAGGGUACGAGCGUUGUCCGGAAUUAUUGGGCGUAAAGAGCUCGUAGGUGGUUGGUCACGUCUGCUGUGGAAACGCAACGCUUAACGUUGCGCGUGCAGUGGGUACGGGCUGACUAGAGUGCAGUAGGGGAGUCUGGAAUUCCUGGUGUAGCGGUGAAAUGCGCAGAUAUCAGGAGGAACACCGGUGGCGAAGGCGGGACUCUGGGCUGUAACUGACACUGAGGAGCGAAAGCAUGGGGAGCGAACAGGAUUAGAU